rnacentral:rRNA from 1 species
AGAAUCUUGCUUCUCGCUGACGAGCGGCGGAUGGGUGAGUAAUACUUAGGAAUCUACCUAGUAGUGGGGGAUAGCACGGGGCAAACUCUUAUUAAUACCGCAUACGACCUACGGAAGAAAGGGGGCAGUUUACUGCUCUCGCUAUUAGAUGAGCCUAAGUCGGAUUAGCUGGAUGGUGGGGUAAAGGCCUACCAUGGCAACUAUCUGUAGCUGGUCUGAGAGGAUGAUCACCCACACCGGGACUGAGACACCGCCCCGACUCCUACGGGAGGCAUCAGUGGGUAAUAUUGGACAAUGGGGGAAACCCUGAUCCAGCCAUGCCGCGUGUGUGAAGAAGGCCUUUUGGUUGUAAAGCACUUUAAGCAGUGAAUAACACUCCAUGGUUAAUACCCAUGGACGAUGACAUUAGCUGCAAAAUAAGCACCGGCUAACUCUGUGCCAGCAGCCGCGGUAAUACAGAGGGUGCAAGCGUUAAUCGGAAUUACUGGGCGUAAAGGGAGCGUAGGUGGCUCUAUAAGUCAGAUGUGAAAUCCCCGGGCUUAACCUGGGAACUG